CCAUUGUGUGAAAGAUGUUUAGCACUCCCAUUGACGAAGACAGAAGAGGUCCUCAGGCCUAACAGCACACAUAAGGUAAGGCAUCCCUACCUACUUUGUACCAUCACAUCAACAUGUUUC
ensembl:snRNA Gm26007 predicted gene, 26007